rnacentral:rRNA from 1 species
UACAGAGGGGGCAAGCGUUAUUCGGAAUUACUGGGCGUAAAGGGCGCGUAGGUGGCCUUCUAAGUUGAACGUGAAAUCCCUGGGCUCAACCCAGGAACUGCGUCCAAGACUGGGAGGCUUGAAUCCGGGAGAGGGAUGCGGAAUUCCAGGUGUAGCGGUGAAAUGCGUAGAUAUCUGGAGGAACACCGGUGGCGAAGGCGGCAUCCUGGACCGGGAUUGACACUGAGGCGCGAAAGCCAGGGGAGCAAACGGG